CUUUGGAGUAGGAGGAAAGAUCCGCGAUGUUUUGUUUAUGUAACAGAAACUUGUAUAAAGAGCAUCUUCCUAUUAAGCUCCCCAGCCUUCCUGUCCUCUACAACCGUCUGAAGGCCGAAGCGCAGAGCUCCCGUGAAGCGUGAAACUGGGGAGAUGAGCGGCGAAUUCAAAGAUUAGUUGAUCCCGGAGAGCAGCCGAACUCACCUCGCGGUCCCAGGUUACCCACCGUCUCUCCGGCUGUGUCCUGAAAGAGCAGCGUUUUUCUCUCCCGGAGCUCCAGACCCCUGACCGCCUGAGCGAUGUUCAAUACUGGCUAAUAACGGCUGGAUUCGUUACGCCUGUACUGCUGUUUAAUUUUUCAAUAAACUAAUGUAUUCCAGGA